CGCAGCCGCGGUAAUUCCAGCUCCAAUAGCGUAUAUUAAAGUUGUUGCAGUUAAAAAGCUCGUAGUUGAAUUUCGGGAUCAAUUUAUCGGUCGUGCAAUAGUACGUACUGAUUUUAUUGAUUCCUACCUUCUGGUGAACUAUGAUGUCAUUAAUUUGGUGUCAUAGGGAAUCAGGACUGUUACUUUGAAAAAAUUAGAGUGUUUAAAGCAGGCUCACGCUUGAAUACAUUAGCAUGGAAUAACGAAAUAGGACGUUUGAUUCUAUUUUGUUGGUUUCUAGGAUCGACGUAAUGAUUAAUAGGGAUAGUUGGGGGCAUUAGUAUUCAAUUGUCAGAGGUGAAAUUCUUGGAUUUAUUGAAGACUAACUACUGCGAAAGCAUUUGCCAAGGAUGUUUUCAUUAAUCAAGAACGAAAGUUAGGGGAUCGAAGACGAUCAGAUACCGUCGUAGUUUUAACCAUAAACUAUGCCGACUAGGGAUCGGAUGAUGUUAAUUUUUUAAUGACUCAUUCGGCGCCUUAC
rnacentral:rRNA from 1 species